rnacentral:rRNA from 1 species
AACGAACGCUGGCGGCAUGCCUAACACAUGCAAGUCGAACGAGACCUUCGGGUCUAGUCGCGCACGGGUGCGUAACGCGUGGGAACCUGCCCUUAGGUUCGGAAUAACUCCCCGACAGGGGUGCUAAUACCGGAUAAUGUCUUCGGCCCAAAGAUUUAUCGCCUUUGGUUGGGCCCGCGUUGGAUUAGCUAGUUGGUAGGGUAAAAGCAUACUAAGGCGACGAUCCAUAGCUGGUCUGAGAGGAUGAUCAGCCACACUGGGACUGAGACACGGCCCAGACUCCUACGGGAGGCAGCAGUGGGGAAUAGUGGACAGUGGGCGAAAGGCUGAUCCAGCAAUGCCGCGUGAGUGAUGAAGGCCGUAGGGUUGUAAAGCUCUUUUAACCGGGAUGAUAAUGACAGUACCGGGAGAAUAAGCUCCGGCUAACUCCGUG